CAUCAAAAUGAUGGCAAUCAGUGGAUACAACAUGAAAAUGUUGUAUCCACUGAUUGCCGUAAUUUGAAACCGUAAUUUUUCAAAAAUUACGGUUUCAUUUUUUUUAAAGGCGGGCAAAUUGAAAAAUGCCUAAUUAGGAGGGGGAGCGAUCGCGUUUUUAAAAUUGACGCGUUAGAUGUAGAAAAAUACGGGGUACCAAAAUCCUCGGAAAUAAAAAUCCCGUGUCCUUAUCACCAAGAAUUCAUCCCACACUGCUCAUUAUGUGAUUGUUUUUCAUACAAGUAUUUUAUGAAAACAGAAUUGUCGGACAUAUUCUGAAAAUCGUGGAGGAGGAAAUGUAAAUUUUGUAAAUAAAAGCACAAUUUUUAUAUUUUAAA